GGAGAAAGUCCGAAAAUAGUUUUACCACUGAUAAGACCUUCGUAGUCGCCGCCACUGCCGCUGCUGCUGCUGCUGCUACUCUAUAGCCGAUAAUGCGAUGUCGCGGCGCGGCUCGUGCCUCGGUUGGCCACCACAGCCGCGAAGCCUGCACCCCGACUUCUAGACUCUUGGCCACGGAGACCCCGGACACCGGACGUGGAAAUAGCGGCGAGGGUGGUUCGCUCGAGAGUGAUAUAAAGGCGAGGUCAUUUCAGGAUUCGGAUUCCUGAGAUCAAAAUACGUAAGAAAAGCAUAUUAAACCCGAUCAAAAAAACGAUUUAUUCCCAAAAUAAUAAAA
rnacentral:misc_RNA from 1 species